rnacentral:tRNA from 2 species
GGGCCCGUAGCUCAAUUGGUUAGAGCCGGCGGCUCAUAACCGCUUGGUUGGGGGUUCGAGUCCCUCCGGGCCCA